AGCCCAACUCGGAGGAGGGAGAGUUCUGUGGGUUUCUGAGGUACAAGCGUGUGUGCCAUGGGGCCACCAGGACAGCGGCACUCUGAGGAUCCUGGGGGAGAACCAAGGCCUCCUCACCCCUGGGCGGGACAUCGGCGCAGAAAGAAAAGUCUUUUUCAGGACUGGAUGAAAGGAGUUGUGUUCACCAAUGGACAAAACCCGGGCUGCUGCUGGUCGUUAGGUCCUCAGAACACCCUCUACCCAGACAGCACCAUGGCUUCAUUCUGGAACAGAUGAGGCGAACUCUGCCCAUGGCACCUGUGCCCCAGUCCACCCAGAGGCAGAACUGGAACCUCACAGCCGCUCCACCUUGUCCUUGACAGAUCAUCGUGUUUGAGGAAGUGGAAGCUGGUCUCUGUAGCCGGAUCAUUUGGGUAUGGCAUUCCGAAGGGUCUUUUGUGGCAUCUGGAUGACCUUCUGGAUGUUUCUAGCUGAGACAGGAACAAAGGAGGCAGGAUGUGUGCUCUCGCAGGGCCCUGAAGUGGCCUCCGUCCUUGCCUGAUGGACGGGUUCUCUUGGGCCUGCACAGCCCCACUUGUCCCCUUUGAUUUUACUAUGACCUAACUAGUCCACUCCUCUAACAGCCUGAGCCCGGCUCCCUCGGCCCCCUUCCACACAUCUCCACUGUUUUCGGGAUCCCGGUCUCACCGUCAGCCUAUCCCAGCCUUCACUCCUGGCCUUUCUGAAGCAUACCCUGCUCCCACUGCUGUCUUUCGCUGCUGUGGUGGUAGCACCAGGGCACUUUUUCUAGUACCUUUCCCCGGGCUGCCGUGGGUAGAGAUGGCUUGGACCAGUUACGUGAGGUUGCAGUGGGGCCAUCUGGUGCCUGCUGCAGUGGCUGCCCGUGGUCUGUCCCUGCCUCCCCAGCUCCUUUUGUUAGCAGUGGGAUCCAGACAUGCUUCUGGGGAGUCACCCCACUUAAGUGAAACCUUUGUGGGCCUAAUAACUGAGCUGCACUCCUGCUCCCGCCCCACGUGGGGGUGUGGUACCCACGAGGCUGGUGGGACUUUCUUUUCCAGGCCACGGAGCCUCGAGGGGUGUGACAUGCAGCAGAAAGCAGACAGAGCUGAGUCCUUUCCACAGUGGUGACUGAGUAGCCUGGGUCACAGGAUUUGCCCUGCGUUGGGUCCGCUGUCCACCCUCUAACCUGCGGGGACAUUUUUUGCUUGGCUUAAGCCCACCCAUUGCACACCCUUCAUUAUAUGGCGACAGCAAAAAGUGUUUGACCCCCAGAUACAGUGUUGAAAACAGAAAGGAGAUGCUCAGAACGCCUGACUGUGCAAACGCAUGUCUGGAGCAAAGUGACCUUUCCAAGAAAUCAAGUAAAACAGAAAAGCGAAUGCAGGAGAUCACGGGUCGUCCAUAGAUGCUUUGUGUUUUCAGUGUUAUGAUUUUUAAAAGGUGUUUCCUUUUUUCUUCCCCAUAGUUUUCCAUACCAUUGGUUUUCCAUAGUCAGGCAGAAACCCUGCUUCUCUGAGAUUUAGGCCAACCCACUGUCUCUCUCCUCAUCACCAUAUGUAGCGAACUCACAGCCCUGAUGGGUCCCUAUUCUUCUCCCAUUUUUCUUUCUGAGCCAUAGGAAAGGGCAGAGAGAGCCAUCGCAGCCCCAGGGUGAGCCAGCUUGGUAGCACCGCAUGGGAAUGCAGAGGGGAGAUUUAUGAUACUUUUGGUGUUUUGGUCUUUUAAGUUCCCAGGUGGUACAAAUGCCCAGAGUUACCCAACAGGCUCUCAGGGGAGCUUGGGGGAGUGGGUCACCCUAGUGGCAAGCUAGCACUGCAUGAGGGCUGCAGAGAGCCCAUGCCAACACCCGAAGGAAUCCAGCCAGACCUCAAGAGACUCCGUGAUCUCCCAUGGGAGCCGGCAUCAGGCUGGUUGCACAGGGUCUACUAGACCCGGUCAGCUCGGGCAGGAUGGUGAGUGCACCCCAACCAGACCCGGUCAGUCUGGGCAGGAUGGUGAGUGUGCCCCAACCAGACCCAGUCAGCCCAGGCAGGAUGGUGAGUGUGCCCCAACCAGACCCAGUCAGCCCGGACAGGAUGGUGAGUGCACCCCAACCAGACCCAGUCAGCCCGGACAGGAUGGUGAGUGCGCCCCUUGCAUCCUGCACUUGUCGAUGCCAGGAGGCUACCCACGUGGACGAGGCCCUCCACAGCCCACGUAGGUCAGGGGGCAAGAGCUGCCUGCUCAAGUGUCUCCUUUGCUGCCCAGCCCAAGCUUGGUUUCUCAGCUGCAGCCCACAGAAGAGGAAGCACAGACAGCAGCUUGGCUCCAUCCUUUGGUCUUUUCUUCCUCUUUUCCACCACUGUCCAGAGCCAGAAAGUGUCAGGAAUCCCCACGUCAUGGCCUCUUACUUCCAUAAACUUCAGGCGCAUCACAGCACCUGGCGGGCUUGCCCAAGCAAAAGUGGCUGGGCCCUCCUGGAAUUGCUGGCAGGCGGCUCUGGGGGUGUGCGUUUCUAGUGGGGUUCCAGGUGGCGCUCACAGACCUCGGCCGUUAGUAGGGUCUCACCCGCAGCACUCACAGUGCUUGGGGCCAGGCCAUUCUCUGUGGUGGGGACCAUGCUGUGCAUUGCUGGAUGUUUAGCAGCAUCCUCUGGGCUUACCCACCAGAUGCCAGGGGCGCACCCUCCACUCCUAGUUGUGACAGCCAAAAAUGUCUGCAGACACCACCCAAUGUUCUCUGGGGAUGAGAAUCCCACCAGGCGAAAGCUCUUCUGUGGAGCUGCCUGCUCUCCCAGGCAGAAGGUUGUGUUUCUGACCCUCCAGGAGAGCCUCAUGGAUCAGUCCUUUAUAAAUGAAGAAACAAAGAUGAACCUGUUUUUCUUCUGCGCAAUCUAUUUCUGAAUAUAGAAACAGCUUGUUCCUUAUUUCUCCUGUUCUGCUAUUGAAACAAAUGCUGAUAUUCCCACAGAUAAUGGAUUCCUAGAGUAAAUUGGGGUAAAAGCCAUGCAUGGGGGAGGCUAAAUAGAAAAUUAUUGUUAUACUUUUACAGAUUCUGCUCCCUUUACACCUGUAAAAGGCAGGCACGCUGAGGGUGGUGCUACAGAUCCCGUCUAUCAAGGGGCAGCUCCUCGCUGGUGCCAGGCCCCUUCCCCAUCUUCAUGACCAUUUGGUCCUGGGCAGUGUGCAGAGCUCCUGGCCCGUCAGGGACUCUCCUCUGUAGCAGGAGUGGUGGGGAACAAACCUCUCAAACACUGAACAGAGAACUGAGGAAGGAAGUGGCUUUUUAUUCAGCUGGAAGCUGUGGGGGGCUACAGCCUCAUUCACCGAGCUCCCCAAGCUGCAGCUUCUCUCCCCUUUUAUAGGCUUACACAGCUAAAGGGGAAACUGAGGCAGGACUAUGUCAUUGUCCAUUUGCUGGACGUCCGACUUUACAAUAUUUUGGCUUCAUUGAUUUGCUAAUUCAUAUGCAGCGUGAGCCGGGGUUAGCAGGGGAGGGGGCCUUACAGAGACAAGACAAAAGCAACGAGCUGUUUGUUGGCAGAGGUGUUUCCAGGAGAGAGCCUGGUCGUGGAGACGUGGGAGUGUGACCCAGUGCCAGGCUCCAGCCGGCAGAGCUAACAAUCAUUUGCAGCUCUUUCAAGGUUAACAGAUAGCAGAGACUCUGGGAACUAAAGAGGGAGUCAUUUUCCCAGCUCUUUGGUAUUUUAUUUCAUUUUUUUUCCUUCUU